AUGAACACAGGGAUACGUCUUGUUUUCACGCGGCAGGAAGGUCGGGAGAGGGUAGUUCAGGCCCCGUGAUCUGUGUUUGAGCAUGGAGGCAUAGCCCCCUCCUGCGCUGAUUAAUAAAUACAGUAUCCACGGUUGACCUGUUGCCCACCAUCCCUUGACCAGGUGUCCUACGUAGCUGACCCCUCGCAGCAGGGUGGGACAGGUCAUGUAGUGACUCCACACGGAGGGCGGGCAUCAGGUAACUGCUGGGUGGCCUGCCUGAGGACUGUCAUAUCCCUAGAGCCUGGUGCUAGAGGCGGGCCCAAGGUCCCUGGAACUGGGGUCUGAGGGAACUACGUCCGUGAUGCGGCUGAAGCUGGAGCUAGAGGAGAAGAAACAGGCCAUGGUUCUGCUGCAGAGAGCUCUGGCGCAACAGCGGGACCUCGCCACUCGCCGUGUUAAGGAGACAGAGAAGGAGCUGAGCCGGCAGCUGCGGCAGCAGAAGGAGCAGUACGAGGCCACCAUCCAGCGGCACUUGUCCUUCAUUGACCAGCUGAUCGAAGACAAGAAAGUCCUUAGCGAGAAGUGUGAGGCGGUGGUGGCUGAGCUGAAGCAGGGGGACCAGCGGUGUCGGGAGCGUGUGGCACAGGUGCAGGAGCAGCACGAACUGGUGAGCCCAUGCCAGGCCAGGGCCCCUGGGGGCAGCCGAUGCCAGGCCGGGGUCCCUGGGGGCAGUGGCAACGUG
rnacentral:lncRNA from 1 species